rnacentral:rRNA from 1 species
UGGGGAAUAUUGCACAAUGGGCGCAAGCCUGAUGCAGCCAUGCCGCGUGUGUGAAGAAGGCCUUCGGGUUGUAAAGCACUUUCAGCGAGGAGGAAGGUGGUGAGCUUAAUACGCUCAUCAAUUGACGUUACUCGCAGAAGAAGCACCGGCUAACUCCGUGCCAGCAGCCGCGGUAAUACGGAGGGUGCAAGCGUUAAUCGGAAUUACUGGGCGUAAAGCGCACGCAGGCGGUUUGUUAAGUCAGAUGUGAAAUCCCCGGGCUCAACCUGGGAACUGCAUUUGAAACUGGCAAGCUAGAGUCUCGUAGAGGGGGGUAGAAUUCCAGGUGUAGCGGUGAAAUGCGUAGAGAUCUGGAGGAAUACCGGUGGCGAAGGCGGCCCCCCUGGACGAAGACUGACGCUCAGGUGCGAAAGCGUGGGGCAGCAAACAGGAUUAGAUACCCUGGUAGUCCAGCGCUGUAAACGAUGUCGAUUUGGAGGUUGUGCCCUUGAGGCGUGGCUUCCGGAGCUAACGCGUUAAAUCGACCGCCUGGGGGAGUACGGCCGCAAGGUUAAAACUUAAAUGAAUUGACGGGGUCAUAGCUG